GGUUUCUCUUCAUAUCGCAUAGCUCUUUUGCCUUUUACUAAAGAUUUCUGUGGGGAGGAACAGUUAA
rnacentral:snRNA from 1 species